GAAAAAAAAAAAGAACAUAUAUUAAUAUAUUCAGUUCAUCAAAACAGUCCCUGAAUACACCUCUGUGCAGAACUUGUGCGAGCCUCUGGGGACCCAGGGCUGGUCAGGCUGGCUGGGCAGAAGGGGAUGAAAACAUUGCCUUAUACACACUUGUAGAAUAUGUCGCAAUGGGAGAAAUCUUCCCAUAGCUUCUCAUGAGUCCAGUGAAUUAGGCAGGGCAGGUAUCAUUGUCCCUAUUUUACAGAUCAGGAAAUUGAGGUCCAGUGAGGUGUCUUGGCCAGGACACUCAGUCAGGACGUGACAUGAACACAGGACUGUCUGACUUCAAAUCCAGUGCUCCUUCCCCUGCAGGUGAGAAGGGGCCCCUGUAGCAGUGGGAGAGGGCCCAAGGCCCCAGCUGCCCCUGAGGACCCCUUCAAGCUCAGCAGUGAGACUUUGGCCAGGGGAAGGGCAGGCAUUUUAUCCCGUCUCUUGCAUUCCGUUCAGAAGGUCCCUGUCUGCAGCUGGAGGGUGGAAGGGACUCUGGACAGGGUCACUAGAGACCCUGCUCUGCCCUUUACCAACAAUGCUGUGGGAAUCCGGCGCAUGCUCUCUGAGCCUGCGUUCUUCUCUGUAAACGAAAGGGUUGGACUUGAUGAUCUCUAGAGAGCAUUUUAGGCCCUGGGGGCAGAGCUGGGAGCAAGGAUCCAUCUGAGAGUGGUUCAGGACAAGACUCAUGCUCCAGCCCCAGCUGGGAGACUUGGUCUCUGGCUGAUGGUGAAGUCUCUACCCACAGCGAGCCGAGCCAGGGAGCUGGGGAGGGAGGAUAUCUUUGCAGGCCACUGGGAUCUCUGCAAUGAGGCCAUGGGGCCAGGGUCUUUCUGCUGUCUCCCCUCCCUGCCCAGUCCCCACCCCACUGACUGGGGGACAGUGCUCCAGGCAGCUGGAAUGGGACACGGUUUGUGUGGCAGCGAGAUAUCCAGGCUCUCCUCCUUCCAGAUCUAAGGCAUGCGGUGUGAACAGGAGCAAUCCCUUCACAGUGUGGAGCCACCGGCUUUGGAGUUGUUUGUGGCUGCAGUGUGUAACCCAGCAUCUCCUGACUGAUGUUAUAGGUUCUGCCGGAGGGGCAAAUGCGGGCAGCAAGGGCUUGCAGCCCUGGAAUUAACAAAUGAGUACUAAUGAGCCCUCCCUUCCUCCCUCCCUCCCUUUCUCCUUUCCUUCCUUCUUUUCCAAAAUAUAUUUAUCCAUCUAUUUAUUUGUCCAUCCAAGGAUUCAAACCCAGGUCUGCUUGACUAGGAAGGCCGGCCCUCUCCAUGGUGCCAGGACAACUCUUUGGAGAAGAUGCCCCUCUCUCUGCCUGCCUGAAUCUUCUCCGUCCACAAAGGCCUGCUCCAUCCUCCCUCCUCCAGGAAGCUUUCCCUGACUGUCCCCGGGCCCAGCCAGGGUGUCUGGGGGGCUGGAGAGACCCACAGAGCCCUGAUCACCGUGGCUGGCCCGUAAGUGUGGCGACUGAGUCCCAGUCUGGAGGCACAGCUGGACUUUCCCAGAGAGAACUGAGGCAUUGUGGGAAUUUCCCAGCUGUGACCCCAGGACCCUGAUUGCCCAGAAUGGCUCCAAGUUCACAUAUCUAGGGACCGUCACCAAGACUCCUGUAUCUAUAUUAAACUCGGUAAAUGUGAUGACCCUGGAAAUGUGCCCUCAGCAUCACAACCGCACUCUUGGCCCCUCCAGAAUUCAGAGCCACUUUGGGAGUCCACCCUGAAGCCCAGUUCAGGCUUCCCCUUAAUGUGGGGAAAUUGGGUUUAAGUGAAAUUGUCAUCUGCUGGUUGGGGAGGAGGGACACUCAGGCCUCUGCUAUUUCCUCUGGGCUCUCCCCAGCAGUCCUCACUAGGGUACCGAGAAACAGGGGCUUCGCUCAUCCUCCAGAGGCAGGGUAGCCUAGUGGUAAAUGCACGGGCUUUGCAGGCAGACAGUGAGACUGAGUCCCUUCCACCUCUGUGUGGUCCCUGAGGAGGAACUUCACAUCCCUGAGCUGAUCCUCAGUUUUCACAUCUGUAAAAUGGGGGGUUUCCUCAGGUUGGAGGCUUGAGGUGAGAAUGUGAUGAGACAGUGAAAGUGUGUGAAGCACCCGG
rnacentral:lncRNA from 10 species